rnacentral:rRNA from 1 species
CCUACGGGAGGCUGCAGUGGGGAAUCUUGGACAAUGGGCGCAAGCCUGAUCCAGCUAUUCCGCGUGUGGGAAGACGGCCUUCGGGUUGUAAACCACUUUUGUAGAGAACGAAAAGUCUGUUGAUAAUACCGAUAGAUGAUGACGGUACUCUAAGAAUAAGCACCGGCUAACUACGUGCCAGCAGCCGCGGUAAUACGUAGGGUGCGAGCGUUAAUCGGAAUUACUGGGCGUAAAGGGUGUGCAGGCGGGUUUGCAAGAUGGAUGUGAAAGCCCCGGGCUUAACCUGGGAAAGCCACACAUGACUGCAAGACUAGAGUGCGUCAGAGGGGGGUGGAAUUCCAAGUGUAGCAGUGAAAUGCGUAGAUAUUUGGAAGAACACCGAUGGCGAAGGCAGCCCCCUGGGACGCAACUGACGCUCAUACACGAAAGCGUGGGGAGCAAACAGGAUUAGAUACCCUAGUAGUC